rnacentral:rRNA from 1 species
UACGGAGGGGGCGAGCGUUAUUCGGAAUUAUUGGGCGUAAAGGGCGCGUAGGCGGCUGUACAAGUCAAAGGUGAAAUCCCUCGGCUCAACUGAGGAACUGCCUUUGAAACUGUACGGCUUGAGGCCGGGAGGGGGUAGCGGAAUUCCCAGUGUAGCGGUGAAAUGCGUAGAUACUGGGAGGAACACCAGUGGCGAAGGCGGCUACCUGGAUCGGUACUGACGCUGAGGUGCGAAAGCGUGGGGAGCAAACAGG